rnacentral:lncRNA from 1 species
GAUGGGAGCAACGUGACUCAAGCUUUUGUCCAUGCAUAAAACUCUGCUUUGUUCUGACAUACUUUUGAAGUCCUCAGAAUUACUUUGUCAUAGUUAAGAUCCUUGAAUGUGGAUUCUCAUAAUUAUGAACCCAUGACUCUGUUUGAAGUUGAUAUUAUUGACUUAGUUUGGCCCUUAAAUAGGAGUAUCGAAGCUGGAGGAUUCAUAAUCCUUGAGGUCACUUAGCUCA